GACGAACGCUGGCGGCGUGCUUAACACAUGCAAGUCGAACGGAAAGGCCCUGCUUUUGUGGGGUGCUCGAGUGGCGAACGGGUGAGUAACACGUGAGUAACCUGCCCUUGACUUUGGGAUAACUUCAGGAAGCUGGGCUAAUACCGGAUAGGAACCCCCUCUUCCUGGUGGGGGGUGGGAAGUUUCGGCGGUUGGGGAUGGACUCGCGGCUUAUCAGCUUGUUGGUGGGGGAGUGGCUUACCAAGGCUUUGACGGGUAGCCGGCCUGAGAGGGUGACCGGCCACAUUGGGACUGAGAUACGGCCCAGACUCCUACGGGAGGCAGCAGUGGGGAAUAUUGCACAAUGGGCGGAAGCCUGAUGCAGCAACGCCGCGUGCGGGAUGACGGCCUUCGGGUUGUAAACCGCUUUCGCCUGUGACGAAGCGUGAGUGACGGUAAUGGGUAAAGAAGCACCGGCUAACUACGU
rnacentral:rRNA from 1 species